GAUGAACGCUGGCGGCGUGCUUAACACAUGCAAGUCGAACGGGAAACCUUUUAAUGAAGCUUCGGCAGAUUUAGCUGGGUUCUAGUGGCGGACGGGUGAGUAACGCGUGGGUAACCUGCCUUAUACAGGGGGAUAACAGUCAGAAAUGACUGCUAAUACCGCAUAAGCGCACAGGACCGCAUGGUCCGGUGUGAAAAACUCCGGUGGUAUAAGAUGGACCCGCGUUGGAUUAGCUUGUUGGUGGGGUAACGGCUCACCAAGGCGACGAUCCAUAGCCGGCAUGAGAGGGUGAACGGCCACAUUGGGACUGAGACACGGUCCAGACUCCUACGGGAGGCAGCAGUGGGGAAUAUUGCACAAUGGGGGAAACCCUGAUGCAGCUACGCCGCGUGAAGGAAGAAGUAUCUCGGUAUGUAAACUUCUAUCAGCAGGGCAGAUAGUGACGGUACCUGAAGAAGAAGCCCCGGCUAACUACGUG
rnacentral:rRNA from 1 species